GGAAGCCGGUGUGAAUCCGGCGCGGUCGCGCCACUGUCAGCGGGGCAUUCGCGUGCCCGCGAGCCAGAC
rnacentral:ncRNA from 1 species